rnacentral:rRNA from 1 species
CUUACCUGGUCUUGACAUCCCGGAGACCCUUAGGAAACUAGGGGGUGCUUCCAUCUGGAAGAAUCUGGAGACAGGUGCUGCAUGGCUGUCGUCAGCUCGUGUCGUGAGAUGUUGGGUUAAGUCCCGCAACGAGCGCAACCCUUGCCUUUAGUUGCCAGCAGUUCGGCUGGGCACUCUAAAGGGACUGCCGGUGUUAAACCGGAGGAAGGUGGGGAUGACGUCAAGUCCUCAUGGCCUUUAUGACCAGGGCUACACACGUACUACAAUGGCCGAUACAAAGGGCAGCGACACUGCGAGGUGAAGCCAAUCCCGUAAAAUCGGUCUCAGUCCGGAUUGGAGUCUGCAACUCGACUCCAUGAAGUUGGAAUCGCUAGUAAUCGUGGAUCAGCAUGCCACGGUGAAUACGUUCCGGCCUU